UACGGAGGGGGGCUAGCGUUGUUCGGAAUUACUGGGCGUAAAAGCGCACGUAGGCGGCUUUGUAAGUUAGAGGUGAAAGCCCGGAGCUCAACUCCGGAAUUGCCUUUAAGACUGCAUCGCUAGAAUUGUGGAGAGGUGAGUGGAAUUCCGAGUGUAGAGGUGAAAUUCGUAGAUAUUCGGAAGAACACCAGUGGCGAAGGCGACUCACUGGACACAUAUUGACGCUGAGGUGCGAAAGCGUGGGGAGCAAACAGG
rnacentral:rRNA from 1 species